GCCUGGGUAGCUCAAGCAGUAGAGUGUGGGACUCUUGAUCUCAGGGUCAUGGGUUCAAGCCCCAUGUUGGGCA
rnacentral:tRNA from 1 species